rnacentral:lncRNA from 1 species
CUAUGCUGUGGGAAAUGCUAUGAAACAACAGCCACAGAGUCAACAGCGCUGAUUGGUAUGGCUCAGAUGACCAGUGCUGUUCAGAGGAUGGUGAGGGGUCACCAGGGAAGAAGCCAUGGAGGAGCUGAAGCUUGAGCAGGCCCUUGAUGGAAGGGGUUGGGGAAGAUGUCACUGCAGAGCGUGAGCUGGGGAAGAUGAAGAAAUCAGCUGACUGGAGUCUUCAGAAAUGGGGUGGAAUAGCGUGUGCCCUGUGUUGUUGACUACCCUUGUGUUGUGCUGAUAUUCCAUCACAGAGGUGAGUGCCCAGAGAACGGUAAGGAGGGAAGCCCAGAGGAAAGGCUUUG